rnacentral:rRNA from 1 species
UACGUAGGGUGCAAGCGUUAAUCGGAAUUACUGGGCGUAAAGCGUGCGCAGGCGGUUAUUUAAGACAGGUGUGAAAUCCCCGGGCUUAACCUGGGAACUGCAUUUGUGACUGCAUCGCUGGAGUGCGGCAGAGGGGGAUGGAAUUCCGCGUGUAGCAGUGAAAUGCGUAGAUAUGCGGAGGAACACCGAUGGCGAAGGCAAUCCCCUGGGCCUGCACUGACGCUCAUGCACGAAAGCGUGGGGAGCAAACAGG